GCGCUCUUGGUGUAACGGUAACACACUGCUUUCCUGUAGUGUCGAAACAGCUCCCAUACAGAGCAGAGACGGGGUUCGACUCCCCGAGGGCGCU